CUGAUUGCGAAUCGUUGCCUUCAGUGCUGGCCGGCUUCGGCAAGUGCACGUCGGUGACUUUCAUCCAAUACCCUGUGAACCUUUGGCCUCUUGCUAGCUUCGGCCGGCAGAGGAUUUUUACACACACUCGAAUGUAAUGAAAUUUAUUGUCGUGCGCAAGCACUAAUGUA
rnacentral:misc_RNA from 1 species